GACGAACGCUGGCGGCGUGCUUAACACAUGCAAGUCGAACGGAAAGGCCCGGCUUUUGUGGGGUGCUCGAGUGGCGAACGGGUGAGUAACACGUGAGUAACCUGCCCUUGUAUUUGGGGUAACUUCAGGGAAAUGGGGCGAAUAUCGGAGAGGAGCUCCUGCUGCAUGGGGGGGGUUGGAAAGGUUCGGCGGUUGGGGAUGGACUAGAGGCUUAUCAGCUUGUUUGUGGGGUAGUGGCUUACCAAGGCUUUGACGGGUAGCCGGCCUGAGAGGGUGACCGGCCACAUUGGGACUGAGAUACGGCCCAGACUCCUACGGGAGGCAGCAGUGGGGAAUAUUGCACAAUGGGCGGAAGCCUGAUGCAGCAACGCCGCGUGCGGGAUGACGGCCUUCGGGUUGUAAACCGCUUUCGCCGGUGACGAAGCGUGAGUGACGGUAAUGGGUAAAGAAGCACCGGCUAACUACGUG
rnacentral:rRNA from 1 species